AACAGAUUCUUUUCAUUCAAAUAAAAUCAUCUCAUUCAUACAACAUAUCACAUCUCAUUCAUACAACAAAUCAACAAUUCAUACAACACAUCAUCAAUAAUCAUUUUUUUCUCUGUGUAUGUGCUCACCCUCGACGACGGCGGCGCGAGUUUUCUGGCCGGGGAGGAGAGCGACGGCCGGGGGCGCUCUGACGAGGGCGAGGAGGCGGCCGUGGGGGCGCUCUGACGAGGGCGAGGAGGUGGCCGCGGGGGCGAUGAGGGCGAGGAGGAAGAAGCGUCGGCGCCGGUACAGUCGCCG
rnacentral:lncRNA from 1 species